GGGGCGGUAGUUAAGUUGGUUAUAACGCCGGCCUGUCACGCGGGUUCGAGUCCCGUCCGCCCCG
rnacentral:tRNA from 1 species